GAUGAAGAACGCAGCGAAAUGCGAUAAGUAAUGUGAAUUGCAGAAUUCAGUGAAUCAUCGAAUCUUUGAACGCACCUUGCGCUCCUUGGUAUUCCGAGGAGCAUGCCUGUUUGAGUGUCAUGAAUAUCUCAAUCCUGGAUUUUCUUUGUAAGAUCCAGGACUUGGACUUGGAGGCUGCUGGCGUCUGUCAGCUCCUCUCUAAAUACAUUAGCAGAGUCUUUCAAGAUGCUGCCUUGGUGUGAUAAUUGUCUACACCAUGUGUAUGCGUCUUGCUAGUUGCUACCCCGCUUGAACAAGGCGGUUGUGUGGCUGGGACGAAGCUUCUAACUGUCUGUAAAGACAACAUCUGACAUCUGACCUCAAAUCAGGUAGGAUUACCCGCUGAACUUAAGCAUAUCAAUAAGCGGAGGAA
rnacentral:misc_RNA from 1 species